UUAGAAUAAUCACUUCAAGUCUAAUAUAAUUCGUGUAAUAAGGUCACGAAGUUUCUACCGGCCAACCGUAAAUUGCCUGACUAUAGACUUUUAUUUUGAAUGA
rfam:Clostridium aceticum strain DSM 1496, complete genome.